UACGAAGGGGGCUAGCGUUGCUCGGAAUCACUGGGCGUAAAGCGCACGUAGGCGGCUUUUUAAGUCAGGGGUGAAAUCCUGGAGCUCAACUCCAGAACUGCCUUUGAUACUGAGAAGCUUGAGUCCGGGAGAGGUGAGUGGAACUGCGAGUGUAGAGGUGAAAUUCGUAGAUAUUCGCAAGAACACCAGUGGCGAAGGCGGCUCACUGGCCCGGUACUGACGCUGAGACGCGAAAGCUAGGGGAGCGAACAGG
rnacentral:rRNA from 1 species